rnacentral:lncRNA from 1 species
CAUCCCAAUUUUCAUUACAGGAAACUAUUUGAGGCCAGCCUUCAAAUCUAGUCUUUGGCUGUGUUUCUCUUGGUUUAGUUAACAAAAUAGAACAGUUUAACCUCCAUUUUUUUUCAUUUAAUAAUUUUGCAGUCCUUCCGUGGAGGCAAAUAUAUUCAUCUCUACUGAAAUUUCGCACUAUUUUUCUAACAGAGAGAGUUUUAAAUAGCCUGUAAUUCCCAUCAAAAUAUCCUUCACAAAUAAAUUCAUCUGCAAAUAAAUUUAAACUGACUUUAGCCCAUCAGAGAGCUUACGUGGAUCCACAGUUCCCUGACAGGUUCCUCUGGGCUAAACAAUAGAAAUUAAUCUGUAGUUGGCAAGGACUAGGGGGUGAGCCACCCCUCAAGGUCACUGUGAAGAACAUUACUGGCUUUGAGCUUCAAGGAAUUAAAAGGCUUCCUUCCUGACAAGAGUGGAUGUGGCGGAGGUGUCAUUCAGGAAGACGAUAGGGUUACCAGCCUGGAGGUAAAAAAGUCAUUUGAAGCAGGGUGUCUUUGUGUGGGACCUGAUGUUUGGAGAGGGUCAGGCUAAGGGCUACAGAAUGACAUGUCAACUUCCGGCCCAAAGGGCUUCCUUUCAUGCCAUUUGAAAUCCAACAACUUGUAAACUUGCAAAGGUUGGGUCCCUUUGCUGCAGAGUUUCUCAUCAUAGCAGCUUUUCCUGUUCUUUCAGGAUGAUGUAACUGUCACCUAUAAUGAAGACACGCUGAAGACCCACCCGGGGCUGCUUCAGUCGUGUUGCAAUCACGAGAUCAUCCUGAGGAGGGAGCUGCACUCUAGCGACAGUGGAGAGGAGAGCUGAAGAAGCUGCCAGUUCAGCCCUGGAUGGCUCAUUCUGUAAGCGAAAACAAAACCCCGGCAGUAAACAACUAUUAUCCUGGGUCUCUGUUGCUUACAGACACAUGCAAUUACUAGCCAAUAGGAAGUGUCCUUUCUCAUCUCCACGGCAUCACCCUCAUCCAAGCCCAUCUCAUCUCUUGCCUGAUCUUUUAAAAAACCAAAUGGAAGAACCUCAUGUCCCUGCUUAAAAAUCUUUGGCAGAUUCUCAUUAAGCUUAAAAUGAAAUACAAGUUCUUUAACAUAGCAUGAUGGGGCCCCUGGCUAAUUUCUCCAGGUCAUCUCAUAUCACUUGUUCCUGGCUUUAUUAACUGCCAGACAGAAGCCUUCCUUGAACAUGAAUAGCUCCAUCUCACCCCAGGACCUUUGCAUGAGCUGUUUGGAUUACCUAGAAAUAUCUAUUUCCUGUUCCUUCUCCUCCUCACCUCCCUCCUCCUAUUCCAAAGACUAACUCUUGGUCUUCCUUUAAUUCCCAGAUUAAAUGUCCCCUCUCUGACCAUUCUGCUUUAAGUUCAUUGUGUCCUCAUACUCCACCAUUAUUUCCAAUCAUUGCCACCUUUUAGUUUCCAUCAUCGCACUUGUCACAGUUGGUCAUAAUGUGUUUGCUUCUAACAUCUUCUUUGCCUCCCUUUCUCAUUAAAUCUUAAAUUCUGUGGAGAUAGGCAUGAUGUCAGAUUUAUUCACAAGCUUUGUUCUCUGUUGGCAGGCACCUAACAGGAGUGCCUGGUAUUGGUUCCCCGUCUUGGCUGAACAUUAGAACCAUCUGGGGGGAUUUUAAGUACUGAUGUCCUAGAGUCAGGUUGAAUUGCUC